rnacentral:SRP_RNA from 2 species
GCUGGGCGCGGUGGUGCAUGCCUGUAAUCCCAGCUACUUGGGAGGCUGAGGCAGGAGAAUCGCUUGAACCCAGGAAGCGGAGGUUGCAGUGAGCCAAGAUUGCAUCACUGCACUCCAUCUUGGGUGACAGAGUGAGAUUCUGUCUCAA